ACACUUUGGAAAUGGUAAAAUGUAUUCUUUCAUUAGAGACACUGCAGACAGUAACGUCCACCACUAGACUUCCCCUUCUCAACAACACGUUAUUAUUAGCUGCAGAAAUGCAAAAACCCACUAAUCCGAAGCAGAAGUCCAGUGUAGAGGACCACAGCUGAGCAGACGCCCCCCUAACAGCCCUCAUACAGGACUGCAGCAGGACUUCAAACAUCUGGUCAGGAUGAAGAGGAAUCCACAGGAAGAAAUUGAGGAAAUGGAAGAAGAAGAUAACUAUGUUAAUGCUCCGGCCUGGACUGUGGAUGAAGUGGCAGCCCCACCAGACCAGAGGUCUCUCUUCUUCUCUCGGUCUUCUCCACUGAUAGCAGUGUGUUGGCUGAUACUGUUAGUCAUCAUGGGCCUUCGGAUCUACUGUGAGUAC